UCAGGAACAGGGUUUUACGAAGGACAAAAGAUGCACGUGCGCCUGCACGGAGUGUCCUAUAAAAGCCAGGACAGUGCCUAUAGUCAACACAUCCGAAAUAUCCUCCCUGCAGGAAAGCUUCAACAAUCUCUCCGUGGACACAAUGACGCCUCUACGUUUCGCUGUUGUCUUCGUCCUCCUCUUUGGUGUAUUUGUCGCGAGUGAAGCUGCACCGGAAGGGCACGAGCUUGAACGUCGUGACGGUGACCCUAACAUCUGCGUUUGUCUCGAGGGUAUUACGUGCCCUAACGGCCAUUGCACCUCGCUGAGCAAGUGCAAGAAAUGCUCCGUGAUCGUGGGAUAAACAUCGCUGACCGACAGCCCCGAAAGGAUCAAUUCGCAUGUAUUAAGUGACGGACCCUGGUAUUUUCUUCUCUCAACACGAUCCUAGGUGGCGGGAACACUUGAGGGCAAUAAAUGGUAUAAGCAGCA